GUAAAAGAAAAACAUGCACACACGAACACGAGGGCUCGCCUUCUAUCCGUACGAGUACGACGCCGCCGCUGCCGCGGCCGCACGCGACCUCUCCGGCCAUCCGCUGAUCUCCACCUCCAUCGCACCGCCCCACCUCCUGCCACGCCCCGCCCCGCCUCACCGCGCGCUGCCGGCCCCCUGCCCCCCAUCGUCGCACGUCGCCGGCCCUCCGCCCCUCUUUGCCGCGCGUCGCCGGACCGUCUACCGUCGCCGCGCGCUGCCACCGCCUACCCCAUCAGCGCGUCUACUCCUACCCCAAGUGCCCUCACACCCGCGGCCUACCACCGCCGGCGACCCGCGGCGGCCUUCCACCGCCGGCGCCGCUCGACGCAGCGGCGACGGAUCCCCCCGCCUCUGCCACCAUGGCGCCAUCGGGACUCCUCCUCGCUGCUUCCACCUCCACAUUGAUUUCCCCAACCCCGCAGGCUUCGCCUCCAGCCACUUCUUCCCGGCGCACUCUGCCCGCCGUCGGACCCAUCCGCUGAUCUCCACUACCCCAACACCCAAUGACGAUGCAAUCCAUGUUGGCAGAGGAGGAGGUCGUUCAAUCGCCUCAACUCAUGCCAAGAGCAAACUGCAAUUCACCUUGGAAUAUGCAGUGCAAGAGAAGACACAUCGAAUACAGUUUGAAUCAGUUCAGACAGCCAGCCGCCAUUGUUGGUGAAGCUUCAGAUUGAGCUGCAGUGAAGCUGCCAAGUGAAAGAACUGCAGCAGACUAGCGGCGAAGCUAUUCAUUUUCUCGGCACCGUGAAGUUUCAUUGCCGGUCACCCCUAUAGGGGCAUAAGUAUGUGAUCCAGUGUCCAAUCUUUAUAGAUAAGUCACUAGAUGAUUAUACUAGGAAUCACUUAGGAUAUUAGUAUAUUUUUAGUUAUGCUAUCAUAUGGGCUAUCCACAGCUUAUUGUCAGAUCUAAUUAAACCAGAAGAAAAUCUACUUAAUAUAUGUUUGGCUAUGCGAUUUCAAAUUACUUUGUUUCCGGUAAAAAUACCACAUUACUAACAUAUUUUGUGAUGUUUCCCAUAGUUCUUUGCCUUCAUGAAACAACAUAUGGGUGAGGCAAUAUAUUUUCCUGUCUAUAUAUCGGCGUCUCUGUUUUUAAAAAUUGGCAUUGAGGAUCCCUUUUACAUGUUUUUUCUACACCCUGCUGGGAGCUGAAUUGCCUUUCCUAUAUAUGAACAGAUGGCAAGACAUUCAAAGCAUGGUUCCUCGCAUCUGAGCGACAGUUUUUAUGCCCUAUGCCCUUGUCCGUCUCACAUAUCUACCUUGUAUCUACAGGAAAAUAUAUAUUUUCUUUCUACUGCUAAGGCAAUCUAUCUACACGUAAUCUAUGGAUUCUUUGUAGUUCAAAUGGACUAAUCUAUAUAUUAUUUAUGCAGUACUGUUUAUUAAGUUAAAGGUACCCUUUCUAGAGAGUGAAAACUGGUGUAGGGCAGGUUAUAUGGGUAGCAAUGGCUUAUAUCCCUAAUUAUAUUCGAUUUUCUGGUUGUACGCAAUUCGCUUUCCUCAUAGGCAGAAGUAAUGGCUGAGCUAAGUUAACGGCUACAUGUUCCAGAACAAAUUGGAUCUGCAGUGUGUAGAUCGAUUGAUGAUAUUUAUUCUACUUUUAGAGAAAGGACUAAGCCCAACUUUUAAUACAAAGCUUUGAAAGAUUCUGAUAUUGCUGGGCCAGAAGCGAACAAGUGCCAUGCAUGGUGAACUGUCGCUAACUUCAGAAGAUGGAUUUAGUAGAGCUGGAGGUGUACCAGCUGUUUGAGGGAUAUCAGGUGUCAUCUACUGCAUGUGAGGCUGUUUAUUUCCUUCAUGUCAUUCAAUUUUGUCACCGGGGCCUCUUACGCCUACUCACUAGGUAAAUAACUCUGUAUCCUCAAACUCUCUCCACUGAUAGAAAAAAGCCCUUUAGUCCCGGUUCGCAAAGGCCUUUAGUCCCGGCU